AUGAUGAUGUCACUGACUCUACUGCUGAGCACCCUGGGGCUCCUUGUUCAGGGUUCAUCAGGACAAACUCUGACUCAGUCUCCUGGAUCUCAGUCUGUUGCUCCAGGACAGACUGUCACCAUCAAAUGUAAAGCCAGUUUAGAUGUUUAUAGUUAUUAUUUUAAUGCCAGCAUGCUCUACUGGUACCUUCAGAAACCUGGAGAAGCUCCUAAACUCCUGAUUUAUAAUGCUACAAACCGUCAGUCUGGAGUUUCAGAUCGUUUUUGUGGGAGUGGAUCAAACACUGACUUCACUCUGACCAUCAGUGGAGUUCAGGCUGAAGAUGCAGCAGUUUAUUUCUGUAAGAGUGUUCAUUGGAUCAAUAGUCAGGAUGUGUUCACACAGUGA